rnacentral:ncRNA from 1 species
GCCCCUGUGAAAAUGCCCUAUGUGCCCCUCACGGGCGCAAGGAGCUGGUAUCAGGCACAUUACAAUAAUGCCCAUGACACCUUGCUCAGCCACACCCCCAAGGGAGCCCAGCAGUGAUAGACAUUAAGCAAUAAGCGAAAGCUUGACUUAGUCAAAGCUAAAGUAGGGCCGGUAAAACUCGUGCCAGCCACCGCGGUUAUACGAGAGGCCCAAGUUGAUAGGCAUCGGCGUAAAGAGUGGUUAGGACGAAUAUAAGACUAAAGCCGAACACCAUCCAAGCUGUUAUACGCAUAUGAAGGUAUGAAGCACAACCACGAAAGUGGCUUUACAUCCUCUGACUCCACGAAAACUAUGACACAAACUGGGAUUAGAUACCCCACUAUGCUUAGCCGUAAACAUUGAUAGCACACUACACCCGCUAUCCGCCUGGGGACUACGAGCACUAGCUUAAAACCCAAAGGACUUGGCGGUGCUUUACACCCACCUAGAGGAGCCUGUUCUAGAACCGAUAAUCCCCGUUCAACCUCACCCCUUCUCGCCCAACAGCCUAUAUACCGCCGUCGUCAGCUUACCCUGUGAAGGUCUAAUAGUAAGCAUAAUCGGCACUGCCCAAAACGCCAGGUCGAGGUGUAGCAUAUGGAGGGGGAAGAAAUGGGCUACAUUCUCUUUUACAGAGAAUACGAAUGAUGUACUGAAAUGUAUAUCUGAAGGAGGAUUUAGCAGUAAGCAGAAAAUAGAGAGUUCUGCUGAAGCUGGCCCUGAAGCGCGCACACACCGCCCGUCACUCUCCCCAAACCUCAAUCCUUUCAAUAAAUAAUAAUAUACCACUACAAAAGGGGAGGCAAGUCGUAACAUGGUAAGUAUACCGGAAGGUGUACUUGGACACAUAC